GGUUCGGAUUUUGCCGCGAGGUUUUACAGCUAUAUAGACCCCUCAGGCUUCAUUCAAAAUGUGGGUUGUUGAAGGAGAGUUGCGGUCAGUUGAGAGUUUGGAGAGAGUUUGGAGAGUUUGCAUACUAGAUUUUGGAUAGCGUUUGGAUAGUUUGGAGAUAGUUUAGAUAGUUUGGAGAGUUUGGAGAUAGUUUGAAGAGUUUAGGGAGAGAGAGAGGAGAGGAGAGGAGAGGUGAUAGGAUGGAGCCAGCGAGGAAGAGGAGGAUUUCCCCUGUGUGGGAACACUUUGAUUUGAUAACUCCUAACAAGGUAUGCUAAAUCCAACAUUUUUACAGACGCAUAAUUUUUGCUUAUUAAGAAAUAUUUUUCACGUUUUCUUAUUUUAUUCAAAGGUGAGGUGUUUACUGUGUUCCAAGGAGUUGGGAUACAAUAACAACACCUCAUCCAUGCUAAGGCAUAACCGUGCCUUGCAUGAGAAUAAGGAGGGAACUGGAGCUUUAUCUAGCCAAGGUAAGUCAUAACAAUAUUACAAAAACACUAUCACAAUUUUUCCAUGUUCACUUUUGUUUAUUGUGCAAAGAAAGACAAGUAACACUGUACUUAUUUUCUGUUUACCAGCCACCAGAAAACAGGAGCUAGAUGAUGCCCUGGCCUCCAUGAUAGUGAAGGACACACAGCCCUUCAGCAUUGUGGAGGAUGUUGGGUUUAGGGCAUUUGUGUCCAAAUUGGAUCCUACCUAUGUUAUCCCUACCAGGCAGGUAUGUAUAGGUGCAUGCAUGAAGCAAAUGUACUUAAUUGUAUGUGUCACAAUUCAAACAGAUUAAGUACUUUAUAUAUUUUCCAUUAGGCUCUGAAGGCCAUGGUGGAGGCCAAGCAUGAGGCAGCAAAGGAGAAGGCUAAGGCUAAACUUGAAAAGGUGGCUGCCGUUAGCCUAACCUCCGACAUGUGGACAUCCAUCAACAUGGAUGCCUACCUGGCUGUAACAUGCCAUUUUGUGGACGAAAAAACCAGGCUCAGCUCAGUGCUGUUGGGAGUGCAGGUAUUCCCCCAAUCACACACUGCUGAAAACAUAGCUCGUGUGAAAGCCUCCCUGAUGGAGGAAUGGGGAAUCACCAAUAAGGUAACAUGUAUGGUUACCGAUGGUGCUCCCAAUAUGGUUGCGUGUGGGAGAGAGCUGAAGCUUAGGCACCAUAUUUGCAUAGCACAUACCCUCAAUCUGAUCGUGAAGAAGGCCCUUGAACAGAGCCCCGUGCUUUCUGGCAUCCGGGCUAAAGCAAGGAAGCUGGUUGGCUUCUUCAGAAGCAGCACCACUGCUAAGGUAUGGUCAUUCCCUUUAUUCCAAUUUAUUACAACAUUAAUAGUUUGUGUUCUUUCUGCAGCUAUUUAAUGGCCUACUCAUCUGUGUCUUUAAAGGAGAAGCUUACACAAGUGCAGGUUCAGCUGGGUAAGGCAACAAUGAAGCCAUAACAAGAAGUGGAAACCCGGUGGAACAGUACAUAUUUGAUGCUGCAACGUUUGGUGGAGUUGAGGGAGCCGGUUGGAGCAGCGUUAGCUGGCCUUCAACAUGACAUUCAGAUGAUCACAUGUGAUGAGUUUAACAUUGUUGGAGGGUGCUUUUCGUUGCUGUCUCCCUUUUAUUAUGCCACUGCAGAGCUGUCGGCGGAAGAAACUGUGUCUGCCUCCAAAGUUGUGCCCCUUAUGAAAAUGCUGGAGCAAAACCUUCAGGAGAAAUGGCGAAGCCGGCACCUGCAGUGGCACUGGAAAUGGGAGACCAGCUCAUCAGGCAGCUACGGGAGAAGCUGUAUACUCUGCAAUCAAUGAGCAUAAUGUCCCUUGCAACACUCCUGGACCCCCGAUUCAAGGUCAUUGGAUUUUUUAGUCCAAACAAAGCCACUGAAGCAGUGAAGCGACUUACAUCGGAGUGUGCUGCCAUCGUAAGGCAACAACAAAGAGGAGAGGAAAUCCCGCAGGCUUCUACCUAUCAUGAUGUCACUGGAGGUAAUCUGUUACUUAACAUUUUGACAUCAUUUAUUCCUAUAAGAACACUUACUAACAUGAUCUGUGGUUUCCUCUUAGGUAGCAAAUUGUGGCAUCAUUUGGACACUAGUGUCAUGGAAGCAAGGAGGUGUCAAAAUG